CGGACUGUGUUGUUGGGCCUGUUGGAUGAGCCUGUUGGCCCAUUUGUUGUCCCAACUGAGAUGGGCCGGACCCAGUGGAGUGGGCUUGGAAGCCAGUCGGGCCGGUCUCCAUCCAGGUCUGGUCAUCAUGCCGCUGGGUCGGGUUUGGUUGGGUGGAGAGCCAUUCGGACUCCAUAUAAAUUUCUUCUUUUCCCUCUUUUCUUAACCCUAGCCUCUCAUUUUUUUGGCUCUUACUUUCGGCAUGAAAGCUUCGGGUUCCUCCUCUCUUUUCUUCUCUCCCCCCUCGCCUUAAGUUGCCCGCGCCAACGCC
rnacentral:lncRNA from 1 species